GACGAACGCUGGCGGCGUGCUUAACACAUGCAAGUCGAACGAUGAACCCGGAGCUUGCUCCGGCGGAUUAGUGGCGAACGGGUGAGUAACACGUGAGUAACCUGCCCUUGACUCUGGGAUAACUGCUAGAAAUGGUAGCUAAUACCGGAUACGACCCUCGGUGGCAUCACCAGGGGGUGGAAAGAAUUUCGGUCAAGGAUGGACUCGCGGCCUAUCAGCUAGUUGGUGAGGUAACGGCUCACCAAGGCGACGACGGGUAGCCGGCCUGAGAGGGUAACCGGCCACACUGGGACUGAGACACGGCCCAGACUCCUACGGGAGGCAGCAGUGGGGAAUAUUGCACAAUGGGCGCAAGCCUGAUGCAGCAACGCCGCGUGAGGGAUGACGGCCUUCGGGUUGUAAACCUCUUUUAGUAGGGAAGAAGCGAAAGUGACGGUAGGUGCAGAAGAAGGACCGGCCAACUACGUGCCAGCAGCCGCGGUAA
rnacentral:rRNA from 1 species